rnacentral:rRNA from 1 species
UUUUUUUGGGAAAAGUCUACAAGUUCGCUGGUGACCAGCGGAAGGAUCAUUAGCGAGACAUAGAUGCUCCAACCCGUUUGAGAAUCUACCCAUACAGCGCUUGUCUCGGCGGGUUUGUCAGUGGGAUUCGUCCCCUGGCACGCCGCCCGGCCAGACGGAGCCCGCCGGAAGCGCCAAACUCUCUUUUGAAAAGAAGUCUUCUGAGUGGUAAAGCAAAACAAGCAAAACUUUCAACAACGGAUCUCUUGGUUCUGGCAUCGAUGAAGAACGCAGCGAAAUGCGAUAAGUAAUGUGAAUUGCAGAAUUCAGUGAAUCAUCGAAUCUUUGAACGCACAUUGCGCCCGGUGGUAUUCCGCCGGGCAUGCCUGUUCGAGCGUCAUUUCUACCCUCAGGCCCCAUCGUCUUAGGCGGUACGGGCUUGGUUUUGGAGCGUGCGGUGCCCGUGGCCCGCAGCCCCUAAUUGCAUCGGCGUACGCUGUACGUUGCCCCCUGCGUAGUGGUUUACUUUCUCGCAUCGGGCCGUGCUGUAGUGCUGCCGCCAACCAACUCCUUCUGAAGUUUGACCUCGAAUCAGGUAGGGUUACCCGCUGAACUUAAGCAUAUCAAUAAGCGGAGGAAAAGAAACCAACAGGGAUUGCCCUAGUAACGGCGAGUGAAGCGGCAACAGCUCAAAUUUGAAAUCUGGCGCUUGCGUCCGAGUUGUAAUUUGCAGAGGAUGCUUCCUGCGCGGUGCCUUCCGAGUUCCCUGGAACGGGACGCCAUAGAGGGUGAGAGCCCCGUACGGUCGGUAACCAAGCUUUGUGUAGCACCUUCGACGAGUCGAGUAGUUUGGGAAUGCUGCUCUAAAUGGGAGGUAAACUCCUUCUAAAGCUAAAUAUUGGCCAGAGACCGAUAGCGCACAAGUAGAGUGAUCGAAAUGAUGAAAAGCACUUUGAAAAGAGAGUCAAAUAGCACGUGAAAUUGUUGAAAGGGAAGCGCUUGUGACCAGACUUGGGCCUGGUAGUUCAGCCGUCCUUCUGGGCGGUGCACUCUGCCGGUUCAGGCCACCAUCAGUUGCUGGUUGGGGAGAAAGAUGGUGGGAAUGUGGCUACUUCGGAUGUGUUAUAACCCGGCUGUUAUACCUUUCCGGCGACUGAGGAUACGCGCCUCUGCUCGAUGGGAAUCCUUUAUGGCAUUACCCUUUUGAAACCCGAAAAAA